UAUAUAUCUGAUUGUGUUCGUCUGAAAAAGGAUUUACAUAUAAACCUAGGAUGGCUUGAGGAAUUGGUCACACCAAAGCGUCCUCGUUUCCAAUGUAUGGCUGGAAACAGACCACAAGCUCCAGUCUUCGAGGAGAAUAGGCAACAGCACAAGCCACAAGACAGUAAGUAACCUGCAAGAACAAAUUUUUUGAAGCUGUUUACAUCAUACUAACCAAUAAAUAUAAAAAGCAACCAAUACAAAAUGUUUAUUGCUAUUUAUUAUCAGGCAGAAAUGCUACAACACCUUGCCCAUCAAGUAAGUGGUAAUAGUUUGCAAACUAUCAUGGAAAAGUUAAUUUAUUUCAGUAAUUCAACUCAAAUUGUGGAACUCGUGUAUUAAAUAAAUUCAGUGUAUGCAGACUGAAGUACUUCUUUGGUUCUUUUAAUUGUGAUUAACUUUUCCACAACAUUCUAAUUUAUUGAAAUGCACCUGUAUAGGCUAUAUAAACAAACUUUUAAACAAAUGAUUUUGGACCUUCAGUGUUUGGUCCCUAGUAAUAUGAAAAAUGGAAAUGAAUAUAGGCUAUGUACCUUGCUCUGUAAUUAAAACAAGUAUCAUUUCAGAAAUGAAGUUCCAUGCUCUAGCAUAAAAAUGACUUAAUAGCUUAGUCUGCAAAGUAAGAUAAUAUCCAAUGGCUCAUUUCAUGGCAUUAACAUUUUAAAUGUAAAUUUUACUUUUGUGGUAACUGGUAUGAUACAAUAAAGCUUUUUUUUUUUUCACUUACAGCAUCAGCAUUGUCCUGUAAAACUGGAUGUCAGGGGACUGAUGAUAAAGAGCAAAAUUACCUCACACUUAAUAGAAAACUUGAUGAAGUCAUAAGAGAGCUGCGUCAGUUACGGGAAAUCAUACUGCAACAGCAACAGCAGCAAGAAGUUGAAGAACAGGCCAACAUUGAACAGAUGCAGACAGAAGAGCAGCUGUCUGCAUUCUGUGUAAAACUGACUCAAGAAAGUCAAUUUAGAAAAUCCAUGAUGGCAUUCAGUGUGAGACUGUGUUCUGGCACAGUUGGCCAAUCAGUCAGAAGAAUAAUGCGGGCAAUCGGAACAAAUAUGCUAUGGUCCAAAUACAGCCUGAAAGGAAGAAAGGGGAAAAGUGUGUUUCAGGACCUUUCUGUGAUGCGACUGAUCACAAGUAAGGAAAUAACUCACAACAGGCCACUAAAUUAUUCAAAAAUAAUGCAUACCAGAGGUAGUAAUGAGGCUGAAAUGCAAUAUAUUUUUUUCAUUAUAUAUUUUUGUUUUUCUUAAUAUAAUAAUAAUAACUUUAAUUUAUGUAGUGCCCUUAAAGGCUGCUCAACCACACAUAAAAAUUAUAGCUACGAGCAGCAAUUAUUAGUUGCUGCUUAGAUGUGUCUUCAAGUGUCAGAAACAGGACAAAGAUCUCUAACAUGAUCUAGGAGUUUCAACUUAAAAUCAUCACAAAACAUAGUGAAGCAGCCCUUGCGUAUAGUGAAUCAAUUCUUGAACAUCCAUUUAAAAGCUUUGUUAGUCAACUAUGGUCACAAGAUCUGUUGAAUUCUAUUGGUAAGAACAGAACUUGUGAUGAUGGUUGACUUUCUAUGAAAUAAUCGCGUCACAAAAAUCGAAUUCUUGUCUCAUAUUUAUGUUUCAAU